GGUGAACGCUGGCGGCAUGCUUAAGACAUGCAAGUCGAACGGCAGUCUUCGGACUGUAGUGGCGCACGGGUGAGUAACGCGUAACUGACCUACCCCAAAGUCGCGGAUAACGAUUCGAAAGAAUCGCUAAUACGUGAUGUGCUGUCAGAUUGUGUUCUGCCAGUAAAGAUUGAUUGCUUUGGGAUGGGGUUGCGUUCCAUCAGCUAGUUGGUGGGGUAAAGGCCCACAAAGGCAACGACGGAUAGCCGGCCUGAGAGGGUGGCCGGCCACAGGGGCCCUGAGACACGGGUCCCACUCCUACGGGAGGCAGCAGUUAGGAAUCUUCCACAAUGGGCGAAAGCCUGAUGGAGCGACGCCGCGUGAGGGAUGAAGGUCUUCGGAUCGUAAACCUCUGAAUCAGGGACGAAAGACACUUCGGUGGGAUGACGGUACCUGAGUAAUAGCACCGGCUAACUCCGUGCCAGCCGCCGCAGUAAUAC
rnacentral:rRNA from 1 species